UAGGGAAUUUUCGGCAAUGGACGAAAGUCUGACCGAGCAAUGCCGCGUGAACGAAGAAGUAUUUCGGUAUGUAAAGUUCUUUUAUUAGGGACGAAAAAACAAAUUGACGGUACCUAAUGAAUAAGCUCCGGCUAACUACGUGCCAGCAGCCGCGGUAAUACGUAGGGAGCGAGCGUUAUCCGGAAUUAUUGGGCGUAAAGGGUGCGUAGAUGGCACAUUAAGUUUUCUGUAAAAAUGCUAGGCUCAACCUAGUAGGGCAGAAAAUACUGAUGAGCUAGAGUACGACAGAGGCAAGUGGAACUCCAUGUGUAGCGGUAAA
rnacentral:rRNA from 1 species